AACAAAGAAACAGGGACCUCAGUCCUAUAAACACCACCAACAGAAUGAACUUGGAAGCAGAUUUUCCCCCAGAGCAUCCAGAUAAGAACUCAGUCCACUCAACAUCUUCAGCUUUGUGAUAUUCCAGGCAUAUUGUGCUGAACUUCUGACUUACAGAACUUCAGUCCUGAAAGGAUUAUAAAAGCAAGAAAGAAACAUGGACUCUAAGAAUUAACAACAGUGUGGGAAGCCACGGAGGAGAUUUAUGACUACCCUAAAUUGGUUUGUGUUUGGAUGGUAUCUCUCCACCCUCUGACCCCUGGGUCACUAACCAACAGCCGAGAGAAGAUGAUCCCUUGUGGAGGGUGGCUAACCUCACAGCAUGUAUAGGAUUAGAUUACAGAUGAAGAGAAGGUUUUUUCUCAAACUGGACAACUUGCUUUGAUUGAUAGUGAGGCCCUGAAGAUUUAGGAUCGAAUCUGACACUUCAUAUGAACUCAGAGGACAUGGUCCCAGGAUCAUAGGAAAAAGGAAGGUUUUUCAUGCUUUGUCUGAAUAUUGCCAGGGCUUAUGUUCAGCCAAUAUUCAACAGUGGAUACAAUAUAGCACUAUAUUUAACUAUGUCAAGUAUUCAAGUUGAUAAAAAGUGGUUCCUUAACCCCCUUAGUGCCUCACUACUUCCUUGAUCACCCGGCUUCUAACUAGGGCCCUGAACUAUCUCUAAUCCAGCAACUAUAGGACUAACAUAUGGCACUGUGGUUAUACUGGUUGUUAUAAAUUUUAAAGACUAUAUUGAAUGAAGGUAAGGUGAUAUGCUAAAUGAUUUUUCAAGGUAUGUUUGAAUCCUACAUUCAUGUGAUAACUAGAACAAAUAGAGUAUACAUACUUGGUUAAAAGAACAUAUUGACUUAUGUUUCUAGGUAUAAUUUAUUUGGGAUCAAGUAAAGAAGUAGCUAAAUUACAUUUACUUCUCAAAAAAAGCCUAUUGAUUACUAGCAUGGCAAAGCUCCUGACACAAUUACUUUAUAAAUUGCUUAGCAAUGACCUCGCAACAGUAGCAGGAGUUGGCAGAUGCAUGCCAUUGCAUUUUCUCAGGCCAAAUAGUAUAACUUCUUGGCAUACUUUGAGAAAAUUCUAAAAAUGGCAUUUUCCAUGUACAAAGCAAUGAAAAUGGAAUGCCUUUUCUGUUAUCACCAUAUAUGGAAUGUGGUAGAGAAAGAAGCAGACAUUUAAAAUUCACACAAGAGAAUUUCAAAGACUUUUCCAUCAGCAGUCAUGCUGGGAGAAUGUGUGACUAUACUUCAGUCAUGACCAUACAAAAAUAAUUAAAUAAGGGAUUUGCACCAUAUCCAGGUACAGCUGCUGUUCUCAUCUAUGCUUUUAUCUAUGAGGCCACGGUUGACUUAUUGAACUAGCAAAACCUAACAUUUUCUGUAGAAAGUGGACAGACUGCCAGAAAUUUACUCUCUGUCUCCCAAACCUAUGCAAAAUUUAUCCAUUCCAUAUGUAUACCCGGUCUUUAUCCAGAUUUUCUAUUUUACCUGAAAUAUUUUAUCAGUCUGUACAAUGAACUGGUAGAAUAUGUCUGGAACUUAUCGUGUAGACUUUGCUCAGUUCUGAGAAACAUUUAUCAAAACAUCAAGUGAGAAUGACCCAGAAUUUUAUUACUCGAUCAUACUCUGCCAUUAAUGAUACAUAAAUUGCAUUGUUGUUGAAUUAAGAUUUGGAAUUUUCUUUACUACUGCGUAUUAAUGUAUUUUUGGGCUAGGCAAUAUGUUAAAUUUUAAAUAGGAAUUAAAAAUGUAUGUUUACAUA
ensembl:lncRNA novel transcript